rnacentral:rRNA from 1 species
UGCAGGCCAGCAUCAGUUUUGGGCGGUGGAAAAGGUUGGCGGGAAUGUGGCAUCCUCGGAUGUGUUAUAGCCCGCUUUCGAAUACAUCGCCCGGGACUGAGGAACGCAGCACGCCUCUUGUAGGUCGGUCUUCGGACACGUCCGUGCUUAGGAUGCUGGCAUAAUGGUUUAAA